rnacentral:rRNA from 1 species
GACGAACGCUGGCGGCGUGCUUAACACAUGCAAGUCGAACGGAAAGGCCCCUUUGGGGGUACUCGAGUGGCGAACGGGUGAGUAACACGUGAGUAACCUGCCCUUGACUUCGGGAUAACUUCAGGAAACUGGGGCUAAUACCGGCUAGGAAUCCUUGCUGCAUGGUGGGGGUUGGAAAGCUUCGGCGGUUUUGGAUGGACUCGCGGCUUAUCAGCUUGUUGGUGGGGUAGUGGCUUACCAAGGCUUUGACGGGUAGCCGGCCUGAGAGGGCGACCGGCCACAUUGGGACUGAGAUACGGCCCAGACUCCUACGGGAGGCAGCAGUGGGGAAUAUUGCACAAUGGGCGGAAGCCUGAUGCAGCAACGCCGCGUGCGGGAUGACGGCCUUCGGGUUGGAAACCGCUUUCAGCAGGGGCGAAGCUUGUGGUGACGGUACCUGCAGAAGAAGCACCGGCUAACUACGUG